AUACGGAGGGUGCAAGCGUUAUCCGGAGUUAUUGGGUUUAAAGGUUGCGCAGGCGGAUAAUUAAGUCAGUGGUGAAAUCCUCCCGCUCAACGGGAGAACUGCCAUUGAUACUGAUAAUAUGGAAUACGGUUGAAGUGGGCGGAAUGUAGCAUGUAGCGGUGAAAUGCAUAGAGAUGCUACAGAACACCGAUCGCGAAGGCAGCUCACUAAGCCGAUAUUGACGCUCAGGCACGAAAGCGUGGGUAGCGAACAGGAUUAGAAACCCCAGUAGUCC
rnacentral:rRNA from 1 species